rnacentral:lncRNA from 1 species
GGAAGGGAAGUCCGACAACUCAGCAAAACCAGAUGGAUCCACAAACUCGGAAGCAAUCCACUGAGGAUUAGAUUCCUCCGGAGCGUAGUCUACACGUAGAGGUGCAUAUGCAUGAUCAAUGAGAUGUUCAUGACAUGAUAAAGACAGGUUACAAGUUCUUGGAUGAUAACAACAAACAUAACUACCUCGAGUACAACUUACCUUCAUGGUAUAGAAACAAACUAACUUAGUUAUCAAAACAUAGAUUACUACUAAGCAAAUUUUAUCAUCUUCAUUAAGCAAGGUUGUGUAGAUCUCAUGCCAAGUAACCACUAGUUGUCAAUCAAUCCCAAAGACCAAUCAAAACCUAAAAUGAUUAGGUUUUCUAUUUAUCUUAAUCAAUUCUUAAUUAAAUAUUAAUGGUAGUAAUUAAGUAUUAACAUCAAACAAUAAUUAAGUGCCAAAGGUCAUUAAUGUUAAUGACCUUAGGUCAUCACACAAUCCCAAAAGCACUCAAAUUCUAAUUUGGAAAUCAAGCAACUCAUUAUUUAAGUAAAGGCUAGCUAAAAACAAACAACUUUAUUUGCACACAUAACCAGGACAGCAGCAUAUACACAACUUCAUUCAACCAUAAUUAGAGAUCCAAACAUCCAAUAAAGGUGAUAUUAGACUUUCUGGAAAUCUUAGAUAAUUUUCUACAACUUUGUUAUAGACAAGUUUCACAUCCAUCAUUAUCUACCUAGAGCAAUUCAUAAGGUUCCAGAAACUGUCCAGAAAUUACUAAUAAUUUAAUUAUAGACAAAUAACAUUUCAUUUAUGUUUCAAACUUGGACCUGGGCAAAACCCAGCUCACUAAUAGUUGAAAUACAUCAAAGAGAUACUAGAAAACAUCAUGGUCAUCCCUAAAUAAAUUCCUUUCAUGUUUUUAUUAAUUUAUUUAGGUAAAUAGACAAAGCAAUAACCAUAUAUCAAAAGUACACAGUAAAUUCUGAGAAAACUACAGCAGCUCAUAUAUGCUCUCCAAAGUCUACUGUAUAAGUUUCAUGCCAUUUGGAUAAGUAUAGCAAUUUUUAUGAAAAAGAUAAAUUUCCAUCACAAGGAAGCAUGUAAUGGCAAGAUAAAUAAGAAACUCAACAUUUUAUACAAACACAUAGCCAAAUUAUGUAUCUAUAUGUUAUAACAACCUCAUAUAAAGGCAAAGGAACUGUAUUUUACAUUUAUUCAUUUUUAGUUUAAUUGUGAACUAUUUAAUAAGCACUACACAAGAUAAAUCAAUAACUUAACCAUAUAUCAUCUACUGAACAUGAAAUUUUUACUGCAACACUCACAUAACAUCACGAGAACACCACAAAAAUUUCAGGGAAAUAGGAGCUUUACAGAAUGAGAUAUGAAUUUCUCCUUUUUAAACAUAAUUAAAAGGCAUAAAUCAUAACUAAUUAUUUUACUACAAAACAUGGUCAGUUUCAUAUUUUUAAUAAAAACUAGACAUCCUAAGGAGCACAACAAAAAUUGGUUCACCAAAAUUGGAGUUACCAAACUCCAGAUAUGAAUUUUCAAAGAUUCAACAAAACAUCUACAAACAAGUCCUUAUAGCACUAUUCACCUGAGUCACGAACUUCGCAGUUAGACCCUUGCCUUGUGUCGAAUUCCCAUGCGAAGUCCCUGGCGCGAAUUGAAAACAGAGGACGUCGGAGGAAACUCGAUUUCCGGCCUGUUGAUGUUCGUUGGAGACGAGGGGAAGAGUCGGGGAGCAUCAGGGGCUCAGCACGACUUCUUCAAGCUUCUCAGAAGUGGUGGAGAAGCACGGAGGAGGGCUGGCCACGUGAAGCGCCCACGGCAGCGCUUUCGGCCGGAGUUGAGGAAGAAAGACGGCUCCCGGGCGAUUGAGAGGGGCGGGGAGGCUUCCUGGGCGUACACUGGGUUCGCAAGGAUAUGGCGAAGGUGUUGGAGAACUCGAAUUGGUCGGAGGAGUUGCGUGUAGAGGGUAAUGGAUGGUGGAGCUUCUCUGAUGCUUUUGGUCGCCGGAGCGACUGAGCUCGAGGUCGGCCGCGCGGACGCUCAAGGGGGCGAGGCGCAGGGGUCGCGGGCGUCCACGUCGCACGGUGACGCGGCCGGCAAGCAGCUGCGUGGCGGCGAGGCGCGCACGUGGAGCUGCAC